UACGUAGGUGGCAAGCGUUGUCCGGAAUUAUUGGGCGUAAAGCGCGCGCAGGCGGUUCUUUUAAGUCUGAUGUGAAAGCCCCCGGCUCAACCGGGGAGGGUCAUUGGAAACUGGGGAACUUGAGUGCAGAAGAGAAGAGCGGAAUUCCACGUGUAGCGGUGAAAUGCGUAGAGAUGUGGAGGAACACCAGUGGCGAAGGCGGCUCUUUGGUCUGUAACUGACGCUGAGGCACGAAAGCGUGGGGAGCAAACAGG
rnacentral:rRNA from 1 species